ACACGUAGGGGGCGAGCGUUGUCCGGAAUUACUGGGCGUAAAGGGCGCGUAGGCGGCCUAAUAAGUCAGAUGUGAAAACCCUGGGCUUAACCCUGGGAUUGCAUUUGGAACUGUUGGGCUUGAGGGCAGGAGAGGAAAGCGGGAUUCCCAGUGUAGCGGUGAAAUGCGUAGAUAUUGGGAGGAACACCAGUGGCGAAGGCGGCUUUCUGGACUGAACCUGACGCUGAGGCGCGAAAGCCAGGGUAGCGAACGGGAUUAGAUACCCCGGUAGUCCUGGCCGUAAACGAUGGAUACUAGGUGUGGGAGGUAUCGACCCCUUCCGUGCCGCAGCAAACGCAAUAAGUAUCCCGCCUGGGGAGUACGGCCGCAAGGCUGAA
rnacentral:rRNA from 1 species